rnacentral:tRNA from 1 species
GCCCUGGUGGUGAAAUGGUUAUCACGGAAGUUUGUGGAACUUCAGUUUUUGGUUCGAUCCCAAGCCAGGGUACCA